GCAGAGCACUCCACGGGAGGCAGCAGUGGGGAAUAUUGCACAAUGGGCGCAAGCCUGAUGCAGCCAUGCCGCGUGUAUGAAGAAGGCCUUCGGGUUGUAAAGUACUUUCAGCAGUGAGGAAGGUGGAUAUGUUAAUAGCAUAUUCAUUUGACGUUAGCUGCAGAAGAAGCACCGGCUAACUCCGUGCCAGCAGCCGCGGUAAUACGGAGGGUGCGAGCGUUAAUCGGAAUUACUGGGCGUAAAGCGCAUGCAGGUGGUUUGUUAAGUCAGAUGUGAAAGCCCGGGGCUCAACCUCGGAAUUGCAUUUGAAACUGGCAAACUAGAGUACUGUAGAGGGGGUAGAAUUUCAGGUGUAGCGGUGAAAUGCGUAGAGAUCUGAAGGAAUACCGGUGGCGAAGGCGGCCCCCUGGACAGAUACUGACACUCAGAUGCGAAAGCGUGGGGAGCAAACAGGAUUAGAUACCCUGGUAG
rnacentral:rRNA from 1 species